rnacentral:rRNA from 1 species
UACGAAGGGGGCUAGCGUUGCUCGGAAUCACUGGGCGUAAAGCGCACGUAGGCGGCUUUUUAAGUCAGAGGUGAAAUCCCCGGGCUCAACCCGGGAAGUGCACCCGAAACUGCGAGGCUUGAGUACCGGAGAGGUUGGUGGAAUUCUCGGUGUAGAGGUGAAAUUCGUAGAUAUCGAGAGGAACACCGGUGGCGAAGGCGGGUCUCUGGGCCGAUACUGACGCUGAGGAGCGAAAGCGUGGGGAGCGAACAGG